UUUAUGACAACAUUGUGAGGACGUCGUGGUAAUGUUCCAUUUUUUAGAAUCUUGGCUAACGUUCCAGAAACGUCGCGGGCACGUCCUCAAAAGACGUCGCUGGUUAAUACCACGGAGAACGUUGUAGCGACGUGGUCCAUAGAAUCUUGGCUAUGGUUCCAGAAACGUCGCAGGCACAUCCUCAAAAGACGUCGCUGGUUAAUCCCACGGAGAACGUUGUAGCGACGUGGUCCAUUGGUCUCCUGAUAACUUUCCAGAUAUGUAACUUUUUGUGUUAAAAAUUUACAAAAAUUAUACAAUGGGAAUGUACAACAUGAAUACAUUUUCCAAACCGUGUUUUUGUUGUACCCUGAAUCAUUAUGGUACACCCAGAGCCGUUGAAAAACAGAGUUCCGACCGGUUCCGACACUCCCAUAGACCUCCAUAGGAACUUUGGAAUGCGGAAGUAACGCGUGUCGUGGAGCGGCCGAUAGUUCCAAACACUGAUAGUUCCAAACACUGAUAGUUCCAGCGCUGAAACCCAUUCAUUUUCAGUGAUUCUGAAGAUCGCUCGCUGUUCUGUCCAGGAGCAGCAGGUUUGAUUCGACUCCAGACCCGUCUCCUCUGGGGCCUGACACAGGCCCUGUUUUCACCUGGAGUUAAGAUGUGUCAAUCGGAUCACAAGUGGACGAGGGAGACGCAUACACGUUUACACUUGGUGUUUUAAUCCAUCUCUUUUGUCCUCUUUCAACCACGAUUUCUUCAAGGGGGUGGGUAAAUGUAUGGGUUUUUAUAGAUCUUUCAAUCUAAUAGACAAAAUAAGCUUGAGCAGUUUACAUAUGAACACACCCAGAGAUGACAGGAAAACAUACAGAGAGCAUCAGUGUUUGUUUCUACUCUGACAGCCGCAAGACCAGCUGAACGCAGUGAGUGUGUGUUAGAAAUCAGGAAUGGUGAGAGAACAUUGUGCUUGGUACAUUUUUCAUCUUCAAACCAAACUUGGGUCUUUAGCCAACAAAGUUUAAAUCCAAUCUAGCUAGCGUGCUUCCCAUAAUGUUUACACAUUAGGUCAGUAGGCGGAGAGUAGACAGUCUUUAGUGGCGGUUCGAACACAUUCGACCACGUUUACACUAUGAAAGCAGUCCAGUCAAAUGCAUUUUCAAAUACCUCUGGAAGUGGUUGAAAGUGGACAAACUCAAACCGUUUUAGACUCCAUUUACACCUGUAUUUAGUGUCAUCCACUUCAGAUUAGCCAGAACACAUCUUAACACCAGGUGGAAACAGGCCCACAGUCUGCUUCUGGCAGUGGAAUGCUCUCACCCAAAAAGUCUCCAGAUCAUCAUACGGCUGCGCUGGAAGAAUGUAAUGGCUAUUGUGAAAACUUCUAUUCCUUUUCUGGCCUGCUUUCUGCCAUCUUUCUCUCCCUGUAGGAAGUCAAAUGAGUUUCUUUGAAGACAGAACAUUCAAGGAAAAGUUACCUACCCUCUCUCUGGAUAUAAUAUAUAAUUAAAUGUUUUGUUGAAUGCAAUUGGUUGCCUUGUAUAUUUUUCAAUGUUGACCAAACUUCUUUCUUGACUUAAACUGAGCAGCUUCAUUCAUUGAUAUUAACUUGUUGUGCAUGUUUAUGUAAAUGUGUCUUAACAUAACGCAACAUUAGGAUGUUAGUAAUAUUUAUGACCAUAGAAGCAUGAGAAAAAUAUAUACAGUACAUGCUGUAAAUGUAUACCUUAUGGGAGCAGCCCCUUUAAACGCUCACAAAAAAUUAAUUCAAUUCAAAAGGCUUUAUUUGCAUGAAAAUAAAUAAAUAAAUAAAUAAAUAUAUCAUAUAUAUCAAUUAAAAAUUAAUUCAAUUCAAAGGGGCUUUAUUUGCAUGGAUAUAUAUAUAUAAUAUAACAUACUACAUAUGUUUGUAUGUAUUUGUGUGUGUUCUGAUUAAUGGUUUAGCCUAUGUUUAGGGAAGGACAUGAUGAAGGGGUACAUUAGCCAUACUGAAAUGAAUCCAGUUAACAGAAAUGCUAACGUUAUGGAUCGUAUUUAGGAACAUUGUUAAUUCACUCCGUAACCAUCUCUCCAGUAGCCUACAUUUUAACAGACCACACUGUUAUAUAAUGCCGUCUCUCUUUCACUCUCCAGAUACAAUACACUACUGUAAGUGUAGUCAACGUAGUAAUCAGUUUUAUGCGUUAAUAUUUACCGAAAAAUUGCUGCAAAUACAGUAGUUGCUGUUUAUGUAUUUUACGUUAUGGGAGCAGCCCCUCUUCCCUCCAAAAUUAAACACAAAUACUGAUUAAUGCUGUUUCCGCCACUCCCGGAGAAAAAAAAAGAUAUCAUAUGUAUGUAAUGUAAGUGUCAGCGUAAUAAUCAAUGUAUAUUAUGCGUCCAUGUUUACGGAUAAUUGCUGCAAAUAUAGCUACAGCUGUCUGUCCCGCUUAAAACCAUUUAAACUGGUUGACGGCGCGCAUGUUUUUGGAACUAUUGAGAGCUACACGAACCGCGUGGCGGCGAGAUCAAAGAGUGUCGCAACUCUCAUAUUUAACGGCUCUGGGUACACCUAGAUAAGUGUUUAUAUUCGGACUAUUUUAGACCAGUCUGGUAGGAACCGCUGCGGAGUAGCACAAAUACCUGCGUGAUUCGUCAUAGACAUAAACAGAGAGAAGUAGCUCCGGCUACAAUGUUCUUCCGCAAGAUGCAUGCCGUUCUGUUUAACCGUUAGAGCGCCAAAAGUUAUGGACAUGUUUAUAUAUUAUAUGUUGUGUUUGUGAAUGAAGGAGAUUUAUUGGAUGGGGCACGCGCGAGACAAAUUCGAAAUUUUAAAUGAGCAAGUCUAACGGUCUUUCGGAGAAUCUUGAGUACUGCGCAUGCGCAUCAUUUUGUUCUGUAACGGUCGACUUCCAGCAGACGGACACGGAGUAAAAGCAGCUGGAGGAGAGACAGCCUGUGCAGCAACAACAAGACAACAAUGAUUAUAAGCAGGGAUAAUCUCCAGGUGGACUGAACGGGUCCAGGAUCAAGAGAUCAUUCAUCAUGCAGACCAUGUUCCAGGAGAAGCAGCGUAUACUGGGUCUGCUUGAUCAUUUCGUUGUCCUGGAUGUGAGAACAUGGUCAAAAGCUGCCAGAGGAGGAUGAUGAUGGCAGUGGUGACCGAGGUGACAGUGCAGCUCAGGAUGAAGAAGAGGAGGAACAUUUUGUAAAAAUCCAAAGUGAAUAUAUAGAGACCAUCCUCCUAUCCUUGCCUCAGAAGAACCUGAGAAAGACCCUCUUCCUCUUCUCUCACAGCUCUCCAUCAUCUACCUCUACAACACUGAUGGCAAGAGUGUUAUACACAGCUGAGGACACGAUCGGGAAGCUGUGGAGACGUUGCUGCCCGGCAUU